rnacentral:tRNA from 1 species
AGGGGUAUAGCUCAGUGGUAGAGUAUACACUUAGCAUGUGUGAGGUCCUGGGUUCAAUUCCCAGUACCUCCA